rnacentral:rRNA from 1 species
UGGGGAAUAUUGGGCAAUGGGCGAAAGCCUGACCAAGCGACGCCGCGUGAAGGAUGAAGGUCUUCGGAUUGUAAACUUCUCUGAUCAGGGAAGAAAGAAAUGACGGUACCUGAAAAACAAGCCACGGCUAACUACGUGCCAGCAGCCGCGGUAAUACGUAGGUGGCGAGCGUUGUCCGGAAUUACUGGGUGUAAAGGGCGUGUAGGCGGGGAGACAAGUCAGAUGUGAAAUACCGAAGCUUAACUUCGGGGCUGCAUCUGAAACUGUUUUUCUUGAGUGUCGGAGAGGAAAGCGGAAUUCCCAGUGUAGCGGUGAAAUGCGUAGAUAUUGGGAGGAACACCAGUGGCGAAGGCGGCUUUCUGGACGACAACUGACGCUGAGGCGCGAAAGCGUGGGGAGCAAACAGG